GACGAACCGUGCGAACGUUGUUCGGAUUCACUGGGCUUAAAGGGCGCGUAGGCGGGUCGUCCGUCUGGGGUGAAAUCCUCUCGCUUAACGAGAGAACGGCCCUGGAUACCACCGAUCUCGAGGGAGGUAGGGGCAUGUGGAACUUCCGGUGGAGCGGUGAAAUGCGUAGAUAUCGGAAGGAACGCCGGUGGCGAAAGCGACGUGCUGGACCUUUUCUGACGGCUGAGGCGCGAAAGCCAGGGGAGCAAACGGG
rnacentral:rRNA from 1 species